rnacentral:rRNA from 1 species
GCGGCAGGCUAACACAUGCAGUCGAGCGGUAGCACAGAGAGCUUGCUCUCGGGUGACGAGCGGCGGACGGGUGAGUAAUGUCUGGGAAACUGCCUGAUGGAGGGGGAUAACUACUGGAAACGGUAGCUAAUACCGCAUAACGUCGCAAGACCAAAGUGGGGGACCUUCGGGCCUCAUGCCAUCAGAUGUGCCCAGAUGGGAUUAGCUAGUAGGUGGGGUAACGGCUCACCUAGGCGACGAUCCCUAGCUGGUCUGAGAGGAUGACCAGCCACACUGGAACUGAGACACGGUCCAGACUCCUACGGGAGGCAGCAGUGGGGAAUAUUGCACAAUGGGCGCAAGCCUGAUGCAGCCAUGCCGCGUGUGUGAAGAAGGCCUUCGGGUUGUAAAGCACUUUCAGCGGGGAGGAAGGCGAUAAGGUUAAUAACCUUGUCGAUUGACGUUACCCGCAGAAGAAGCACCGGCUAACUCCGUGCCAGCAGCCGCGGUAAUACGGAGGGUGCAAGCGUUAAUCGGAAUUACUGGGCGUAAAGCGCACGCAGGCGGUCUGUCAAGUCGGAUGUGAAAUCCCCGGGCUCAACCUGGGAACUGCAUUCGAAACUGGCAGGCUAGAGUCUUGUAGAGGGGGGUAGAAUUCCAGGUGUAGCGGUGAAAUGCGUAGAGAUCUGGAGGAAUACCGGUGGCGAAGGCGGCCCCCUGGACAAAGACUGACGCUCAGGUGCGAAAGCGUGGGGAGCAAACAGGAUUAGAUACCCUGGUAGUCCACGCCGUAAACGAUGUCGAUUUGGAGGUUGUGCCCUUGAGGCGUGGCUUCCGGAGCUAACGCGUUAAAUCGACCGCCUGGGGAGUACGGCCGCAAGGUUAAAACUCAAAUGAAUUGACGGGGGCCCGCACAAGCGGUGGAGCAUGUGGUUUAAUUCGAUGCAACGCGAAGAACCUUACCUGGUCUUGACAUCCACAGAACUUACCAGAGAUGGCUUGGUGCCUUCGGGAACUGUGAGACAGGUGCUGCAUGGCUGUCGUCAGCUCGUGUUGUGAAAUGUUGGGUUAAGUCCCGCAACGAGCGCAACCCUUAUCCUUUGUUGCCAGCGGUUAGGCCGGGAACUCAAAGGAGACUGCCAGUGAUAAACUGGAGGAAGGUGGGGAUGACGUCAAGUCAUCAUGGCCCUUACGACCAGGGCUACACACGUGCUACAAUGGCAUAUACAAAGAGAAGCGACCUCGCGAGAGCAAGCGGACCUCAUAAAGUAUGUCGUAGUCCGGAUUGGAGUCUGCAACUCGACUCCAUGAAGUCGGAAUCGCUAGUAAUCGUAGAUCAGAAUGCUACGGUGAAUACGUUCCCGGGCCUUGUACACACCGCCCGUCACACCAUGGGAGUGGGUUGCAAAAGAAGUAGGUAGCUUAACCUUCGGGAGGGCGCUUACCACUUUGUGAUUCAUGACUGGGGAAGUCGAACAAGUAACGA